rnacentral:rRNA from 1 species
AACGAACGCUGGCGGCAUGCCUAACACAUGCAAGUCGAACGAGACCUUCGGGUCUAGUGGCGCACGGGUGCGUAACGCGUGGGAACCUGCCCUUAGGUUCGGAAUAACUCCCCGAAAGGGGUGCUAAUACCGGAUAAUGUCUUCGGACCAAAGAUUUAUCGCCUUUGGAUGGGCCCGCGUUGGAUUAGCUAGUUGGUAGGGUAAAAGCCUACCAAGGCGACGAUCCAUAGCUGGUCUGAGAGGAUGAUCAGCCACACUGGGACUGAGACACGGCCCAGACUCCUACGGGAGGCAGCAGUGGGGAAUAUUGGACAAUGGGCGAAAGCCUGAUCCAGCAAGGCCGCGUGAGUGAUGAAGGCCUUAGGGUUGUAAAGCUCUUUUACCCGGGAUGAUAAUGACAGUACCGGGAGAAUAAGCUCCGGCUAACCCCGUG